AUUGAACGCUGGCGGCAGGCCUAACACAUGCAAGUCGAACGGUAACAGGAAGAAGCUUGCUUCUUUGCUGACGAGUGGCGGACGGGUGAGUAAUGUCUGGGAAACUGCCUGAUGGAGGGGGAUAACUACUGGAAACGGUAGCUAAUACCGCAUAACGUCCCAAGACCAAAGAGGGGGACCUUCGGGCCUCUUGCCAUCGGAUGUGCCCAGAUGGGAUUAGCUAGUAGGUGGGGUAACGGCUCACCUAGGCGACGAUCCCUAGCUGGUCUGAGAGGAUGACCAGCCACACUGGAACUGAGACACGGUCCAGACACCUGCGGGAGGCAGCAGUGGGGAAUAUUGAACAAUGGGCGCAAGCCGGAUGCAGCCAUGCCGCGUGUAUGAAGAAGGCCUUCGGGUUGUAAAGUACUUUCAGCGGGGAGGAAGGGAGUAAAGUUAAUACCUUUGCUCAUUGACGUUACCCGCAGAAGAAGCACCGGCUAACUCCGUG
rnacentral:rRNA from 1 species